UUUUAAGUGUGGGAAUCAAACCCACAGUGUUCCGCUUACCGGGCAGAUGCCAUGUCCACUAGGCUACCCUGGA